rnacentral:rRNA from 1 species
GAUGAACGCUGGCGGCGUGCAUAACACAUUCAAGUCGAACGGUGACGAGGACCUCGGUCCUCUGAUCAGUGGCGGACGGGUGAGUAACGCGUGAGCAACCUACCUAUCAGAGGGGGAUAACACAGGGAAACUUGUGCUAAUACCGCAUGACACAUACUGAUCGCAUGUUUAGUAUGUCAAAGAGAAAUCGCUGAUAGAUGGGCUCGCGUCUGAUUAGAUAGUUGGCAGGGUAACGGCCUACCAAGUCUACGAUCAGUAGCCGAACUGAGAGGUUGAACGGCCACAUUGGAACUGAGAAACGGUCCAGACUCCUACGGGAGGCAGCAGUGGGGAAUAUUGGGCAAUGGGGGGAAACCCUGACCCAGCAACGCCGCGUGAAGGAAGAAGGCCUUCGGGUUGUAAACCGUUAAACAUCAGGGACGAACAAAUAGACGGUACCUGAUAGGAAGCCACGGCGUAACUACGUG